AGAGUUUGAUCAUGGCUCAGAACGAACGCUGGCGGCAGGCCUAACACAUGCAAGUCGAGCGAACCCUUCGGGGUUAGCGGCAGACGGGUGAGUAACGCGUGGGAACCUACCCAGUGGUACGGAAUAGCCCAGGGAAACUUGGGGUAAUACCGUAUACGCCCGAGAGGGGAAAGAUUUAUCGCCAUUGGAUGGGCCCGCGUCGGAUUAGCUAGUUGGUGGGGUAACGGCCUACCAAGGUGACGAUCCGUAGCUGGUCUGAGAGGAUGAUCAGCCACACUGGGACUGAGACACGGCCCAGACUCCUACGGGAGGCAGCAGUGGGGAAUCUUGGACAAUGGGCGAAAGCCUGAUCCAGCCAUGGCCGCGUGAGUGACGAAGGUCUUCGGAUUGUAAAGCUCUUUUGGCGGGGAAGAUAAUGACGGUACCCGCAGAAUAAGCCCCGGCUAACUUCGUGCCAGCAGCCGCGGUAAUACGAAGGGGGCUAGCGUUGUUCGGAAUCACUGGGCGUAAAGCGCACGUAGGCGGAUUUACCAGUCAGGGGUGAAAUCCCGGGGCUCAACCUCGGAACUGCCUCAGAUACAGUAAGUCUAGAGUCCGGGAGAGGUGAGUGGAAUUCCUAGUGUAGAGGUGAAAUUCGUAGAUAUUAGGAGGAACACCAGUGGCGAAGGCGGCUCACUGGCCCGGUACUGACGCUGAGGUGCGAAAGCG
rnacentral:rRNA from 1 species